rnacentral:rRNA from 1 species
AUGGUGACGGUUGCAAGAUACUGGAAUGUCACAAUCAUCGUGCCGUACAUGGAUAAAACUUCAUUUUGGGUUGCCCAUGAGUUCCGAGAUAUAUUUGAUGUAUACUACUUCAUAGCAUCAUUGAAAGGUGUGUGGUUCAAAUUCUUCGUCGGAAUGGACCCUUUUGUGGUUCUCCACUUGCGGUAUGAGAUGGACAUACUUGCCUUCUCUGGGUGUACACAUGGUAGCAGGAAAGAUAAGGCUGGGGAGGUUAGAAGGAUGAGAUAUUGCAGUUCUGGCAAGUGGAUCUGCACAAACGAGUAUGUGUUUGACUGUGCAGGUGAUAAGGGAGCUGAAGCUGCUGGACAACGGCGAUCUUGCAGAGGUCAUCACAAUCCUUGUUCCGAAUAG